GGACUACUAGGGUUUCUAAUCCCGUUUGCUCCCCUGGCUUUCGUGCCUCAGCGUCAGGAAAUGUCCAGAGACUCGCCUUCGCCACUGGUGUUCCACUUGAUAUCUACGCAUUUCACUGCUACACCAAGUAUUCCAGUCUCCCCUCCAUUCCUCUAGCCAGGCAGUUUCCAACGCAGUUUCCGGGUUAGGCCCGGAGAUUUCACGUCAGACUUACCCGACCGCCUACGCACCCUUUACGCCCAGUGAAUCCGAACAACGCUUGGGACCUCUGUAUUACCGCGGCUGCUGGCAC
rnacentral:rRNA from 1 species